rnacentral:rRNA from 1 species
CCUACGGGAGGCAGCAGUGGGGAAUAUUGCACAAUGGAGGGAACUCUGAUGCAGCGACGCCGCGUGAGUGAAGAAGUAAUUCGUUAUGUAAAGCUCUAUCAGCAGGGAAGAAAGUGACGGUACCUGAAAAAGAAGCCCCGGCUAACUACGUGCCAGCAGCCGCGGUAAUACGUAGGGGGCAAGCGUUAUCCGGAUUUACUGGGUGUAAAGGGAGCGUAGACGGCAUUGCAAGUCUGAUGUGAAAGAUUGGGGCUCAACCCCAGGCCUGCAUUGGAAACUGUAAAGCUGGAGUACAGGAGAGGUAA